rnacentral:rRNA from 1 species
UACAGAGGGAGCAAGCGUUGUUCGGAAUUACUGGGCGUAAAGGGCGCGUAGGCGGUUCGAUAAGUCCCGUGUGAAAUCCCUCGGCCCAACUGAGGAACUGCACGGGAAACUGACGGGCUUGAGUUCGGGAGAGGGAAGCGGAAUUCCGGGUGUAGCGGUGAAAUGCGUAGAUAUCCGGAGGAACACCGGUGGCGAAGGCGGCUUCCUGGACCGACACUGACGCUGAGGCGCGAAAGCUAGGGGAGCAAACGGG